UCAACAUAUGUAUAAUAGAAUAAAUAACAUUGAUAUCGUGUAUUUAUGUUUGCUAGUUAGAUAUAAAAAGUAGAUAUCUUGAUAUAGUUGUUUGAUACCAUAAAUUAAAACCUAGAGUAAUUGAUCAAAUUCUAAUUUUAGCCUUAGUAUAAAUUUAAAUAAUCAAACUAAAAAAAAACACACAAAUCAUGCACCCCCAAACUCUGAAACCCCACCCCAACACCAAAAGAGAAAGCUUCAGCGGCAGCGCCACAAUACCAUCGUAGCAACACCACCCCUAUCUUCCAACACCUAGAAGAAAAAACUUCAGUACCACCACCACAAUACCACCUCUCCCACCAUCUUCUCUCUGUCCAGAAAACCUUCAGCAGCAUUCAACACCACCGCCCCAACAACUAACACCACCUACCCCCUUCAGUAGCACCAGCACCACCCACCCAUCGUCCCCAACAACCAACACACAAGAAAUUACAGAAAUGGAAAGAGAAAUUCCCUCUAUUGUAGAAAGAGAAAUUACAUCAAUUACACAAAAAUUUCCAUACCUCGAGGAAUUCCAUCAAUUAUAUAAAAAAAAUUUAUAACGAGAAAAAAUCAUAGAAAUUACAGAAAGGCACGGAAAAUUGAGGAGGUGUGACAGAGACUCUCGAUGCGGCGGUGUGGCGUGACGGAGGCUUUCAAUUUCUUUGUGGGUGGUGGCGGCAAUGUCCAAUGCUAUCGCCGACUUUCUCCCCUCGCCUGAAUGGACAGCACCUUCGCUGCUAUGAACUUUCCUUCGGUUUUCGGCCAAAUUCAUGGUUGGUACCACCUCAAAUCCUGGCGAAGGCGGCCGUAAUUCCGGUAAGCGAAGAGCCGCCGCCUCACUCCUAGUACCUUACCUUCAACAAUUCUAUCGGGUCAUCGGUGUAGGAGGCAAAGGUUGUUUUUGUCUUUCAAAAUUUAAUCUAUAACAUUAUUGAGGUAUAGAAAAUGUAAUUGGGGGUGAAGGAGAGAUGUUAUUAACUAAG